UUGCUUCAGCACCAUAUAUACUAAAAUUGGAACAAUACAGAGAAGUUUAGCAUGACCCCUGUGCAAGGAUGACAUGCAGAUUCAUGAAGUGUUCCAUAUUUUU
ensembl:snRNA U6 U6 spliceosomal RNA